rnacentral:lncRNA from 1 species
CGAUGAGUCCUAUCCCAUUGUAGAAGCUCGAUCGAAGAUCGGUUGUCACGGGACCCGACUAUGAAGAAGCUCGACUGAAGUCUAUCUGUAAUGGAAGUUCGGAAGGAAAAUGUUUACAACAGAGGCUCGGAUGGGAUUUGCUUACAGUAGGGAUCCGAGGUAGGCCGUCCGCUGUAAGGAUUCGGAGUAGACUGCUCGCAGUAGGAGUUUGGGGCAGACCACUCGUAGUGGAUGUUCGGAGUAGGCCGCUCGCGGUGGAAGUUCGGCUAUCGCAGGAGCUCGACUGGAAUCCUGAAAGAGGUCCACUGUCGUAGAAACGUGGAAGGAGCCUGGUUACUGUAGAAAUCUCAUUGUCAGGGA